AAGAGUUCAGAUAUGCCUAGAGAAGCUAGAGUAUAAUAAGAGAGGGUGUACUAAUGCUGAAUUUAAAUGUUGAUUUGAGUGCUUUGUGUGUUUCUUUUGGCUAUGAGCUCCCACCUUCAAACCUCUCUCCCUAUGAGUUCUAGAAAGUUCAAUUGAGGACAAGUAAAAGAAUAAGUUUGGGGGAGUUGAUAUCUUGCAUAUUCACAUUGUUUAUCCAUUUAUUCAUGUGCAUUUUCAUCAUAUAGAUUAGGAUUUAGUCAUGUCUGGGUUGCAUUUUGCAUACAUAUGUCUCUAUCAGGUAUUGGAGUACCACAU
rnacentral:lncRNA from 1 species